rnacentral:rRNA from 1 species
GAUCAAGCGCAUAAGGGCUUCUGACGGAUGCCUUGGCAUUGAGAGGCGAUGAAGGACGUGGCACGCUGCGAUAAGAGCCGGGGAGGCGCGAGCACCCUUUGAUCCGGCUAUCUCCGAAUGGGGAAACCCACCUUUAUGGUCACCCAACUUAGUCUAGCCUUCGGGCUAGGCCAGGAUUGGAUGGUCAGAAGAGGUAUAAUGGGCUGAAUACAUAGGCUCCAUUAAGCAAACCCGGGGAACUGAAACAUCUCAGUACCCGGAGGAAAGGACAUCAACCGAGACUCCCGUAGUAGUGGCGAGCGAACCGGGACCAGGCCAGUGCUGUCGUGACAUAAAGCUGAACGACUUGGAAAGGUCGGCCAUAGUGGGUGAUAGCCCCGUAAGCGUCAAAUAGCGACAGACUCGAGUAGGGCGGGACACGUGAAAUCCUGUCUGAACAUGGGGGGACCACCCUCCAAGCCUAAGUACUCCUCAAUGACCGAUAGUGAACAAGUACCGUGAGGGAAAGGUGAAAAGCACCCCGACAAGGGGAGUGAAACAGAUCCUGAAAUCGGAAGCCUACAAGCAGUCGGAGCCACCGCGCGUGGUGACGGCGUACCUUUUGUAUAAUGGGUCAGCGACUUCAUGUGCCGUGCAAGCUUAAGCCGUUAGGUGUAGGCGCAGCGAAAGCGAGUCUGAAUAGGGCGAAUAAGUACGUCGCAUGACGACCCGAAACCAGGUGAUCUAUCCAUGAGCAGGUUGAAGGUAAGGUAACACUUACUGGAGGACCGAACCGGUGAAUGUUGAAAAAUUCUCGGAUGACUUGUGGAUAGGGGUGAAAGGCCAAUCAAACCUGGACAUAGCUGGUUCUCCGCGAAAACUAUUUAGGUAGUGCCUCGGACGUAUUCCUUGGGGGGUAGAGCACUGAAUGGAUGCGGGGGGAGCGAUCUCUACCAAUUCUAAUCAAACUCCGAAUACCCAAGAGAACUAUCCGGGAGACACACGGCGGGUGCUAACGUCCGUCGUGAAAAGGGAAACAACCCUAACCAUCAUCUAAGGCCCCCAAGUUCUGGCUAAGUGGGAAACGAUGUGGGUUUGCUUUGACAACCAGGAUGUUGGCUUAGAAGCAGCCAUCAUUUAAAGAAAGCGUAACAGCUCACUGGUCAAGCGAACCUGCGCGGAAAAUGUAACGGGGCUCAAGCCAGACGCCGAAGGUAUGGGUGUGCGUAAGCACGCGGUAGCGGAGCGUUCCGUAAGCCGUUGAAGGUGAGGCGCGAGCCUUGCUGGAGGUAUCGGAAGUGAGAAUGCUGACAUGAGUAGCGAUAAAGAGUGUGAGAGACACUCUCGCCGAAAGCCCAAGGGUUCCUGCGUAAAGCUAAUCUGCGCAGGGUUAGUCGGCCCCUAAGGCGAGGCCGAAAGGCGUAGUCGAUGGGAAUCAGGUGAAUAUUCCUGAACCAGUUGGAAGUGACGGAUCUGGUAAAUUGUCUAGGCUUAUUGGAUUGCUCUGGGCAGUGAACAGGUCCCUGGAAAUAACUCCAACGGAGACCGUACCCGAAACCGACACAGGUGGGCAGGUAGAGUAUACCAAGGCGCUUGAGAGAACUAUGCUGAAGGAACUCGGCAAAUUGCACGCGUAACUUCGGGAUAAGCGUGACUCUUAUUUGGGCAACCAGAUAAGAGUGGCACAGGCCAGGGGGUAGCGACUGUUUAUCAAAAACACAGGGCUCUGCGAAGCCGUAAGGCGACGUAUAGGGUCUGACGCCUGCCCGGUGCCUGAAGGUUAAAGGGAGUUGUGCAAGCAGCGAACUGAAGCCCAGGUAAACGGCGGCCGUAACUAUAACGGUCCUA